CGGUUUCUAGAAGUUUUCGAAUCAAAGAAAGGCACAGCUGGAAAAAAGCUCUCGGAGUAUCUAAUGCAAAUGAAGUCUGCAAACAUCACAGAUGUCACUGCUCGACGGACAACAGUUCUCCGUGGUCUUGCUGUCCUUCUUGGGGAAGACACUACAGACUUCUUCAAAACAUGCUUUGACUGUGAUAUUGUUGCACCUCAAGUAUUGAUAGGAAUUCUCACUGUGGUGCCAGAGGACAGCCUGAUGUCUCCACAAGGUUUGCCAUUGGAGGUCACUGAUACAGCAAUAAUCUUGG